rnacentral:rRNA from 1 species
UACGGAGGGUGCAAGCGUUAUCCGGAUUCACUGGGUUUAAAGGGUGCGUAGGCGGACAGGUAAGUCAGUGGUGAAAUCUCUGGGCUUAACUCAGAAACUGCCGUUGAUACUAUUUGUCUUGAAUAUCAUGGAGGUAAGCGGAAUAUGUCAUGUAGCGGUGAAAUGCUUAGAUAUGACAUAGAACACCGAUAGCGAAGGCAGCUUACUACGCAGAGAUUGACGCUGAGGCACGAAAGCGUGGGGAGCAAACAGG